GACGAACGCUGGCGGCGUGCUUAACACAUGCAAGUCGAGCGGUAAGGCCCUUUCGGGGGUACACGAGCGGCGAACGGGUGAGUAACACGUGGGUGACCUGCCCUUAGCUCUGGGAUAAGCCUGGGAAACUGGGUCUAAUACCGGAUAUGACUCCAUGACGCAUGUUGUGGGGUGAAAGCCUUGUGCGGCUAGGGAUGGGCCCGCGGCCUAUCAGCUUGUUGGUGGGGUGAUGGCCUACCAAGGCGACGACGGGUAGCCGGCCUGAGAGGGCGACCGGCCACACUGGGACUGAGACACGGCCCAGACUCCUACGGGAGGCAGCAGUGGGGAAUCUUGCGCAAUGGGCGAAAGCCUGACGCAGCGACGCCGCGUGAGGGAUGACGG
rnacentral:rRNA from 1 species